AGCUAGAGAGCCUGUGGCCAGCUUAUGUUUUAUAUGCUUAAUAUGUUCUAGACCUUAAUUGUAAAACUCUAGAGCAUGAAAUACAUGUUUUAGCUCAUUGAAUCAAACUAAAGAUUUGUCAAAUAAUUCUGAAACAUUUUUCAUAUAGUCUUCAUGUUUGGAGUGAAGGAGUGAUCAGCCAAGUGACAAGCUGUGCCUGAGUGCUAUGGAAAUGCUGUUAAAUAGAGUUUAGUGUCCCUUUAAGGUAAUAUUAACAUGGCUAUUUAAAGAUACAGAUUCCUGUCACCUGCAGGCCUCCACCUGUGAAAAAGGACGGUGUUCCUGCUUGGCAAGGUGAAACUUCAUGAGAAGCAUCAGGGCCUGACAUCUCCUUGACUGGAUCGCUACUGGCUACGUCAUGGUCAACAGCUGGUUCCUCUUCAGCUCAGCCACCUUCAUUUUCAGCAGCUGCUGCUCCAUCAGGUGUUUUCAGUGCAGAAUCAGAUGUGUGACAUAAUGAGGGAGAUAGACAAAGAGAGAGACGCAUGUGAGGCUCAAAUUGAGAACAGAACA